AAAGUUUUGAUAUUUUCGAAUAUGUUUCUACCGUUAGAAUCCGUUAAAAAAAUUUAGUUCACCAUAAAUUAAAUACUUAAGUCUAAUUAGUUUUUGACAUUUUUAUUCUUUUAUAUUACACUUUUAUAGCAUUUGGAGGAAUAUAUUUGUGAUAGCAAACUUAAAAAUAUAAACAGUUCUCUAAAAGUAACAAACCAGACGGACAUAUUUAAAAAUAUCAGAACUUUUACAGAAAUAAUAUAUAGAAGUCGAACUUUGUAAAAAUAUAUUUGUCAUUCACUAUAUUUAUAAAAAUCUGUAUGAAAUUAUUAUUAUUAUUUUUUAUUUUUUUCUGGAUCCAUCUCAUAUCGAUCUAUACCAUCAGUUUCUAACCCCA
rnacentral:lncRNA from 1 species